rnacentral:rRNA from 1 species
CUUUACUGUAGCCUGGUAUUGGGUUCGGGCUUUGACUGCGCAGGAUAGGUGGGAGACUGAGAAGUGUGCCUUGUGGGGCACAUAGAGUCAACGGUGAGAUACCACUCUGUCAGAGCUAGAAUUCUAACCUUCACCCGUGAUCCGGGGAAGGAACCGUAUCAGGUGGGCAGUUUGACUGGGGCGGUCGCCUCCUAAAAGGUAACGGAGGCGCGCAAAGGUGUUCUCAGGCUGGUUGGAAAUCAGCCGUAGAGUGUAAAGGCAGAAGAACGCUUGACUGUGAGAGUGACAACUCAAGCAGGGUGGAAACACGGCCUUAGUGAUCCGACGGUUGAGCAUGGAAUCGCCGUCGCUAAAUGGAUAAAAGUUA